rnacentral:rRNA from 1 species
GAUGAACGCUGGCGGCGUGCCUAACACAUGCAAGUCGAGCGAUUCUCUUCGGAGAAGAGCGGCGGACGGGUGAGUAACGCGUGGGUAACCUGCCCUGUACACACGGAUAACAUACCGAAAGGUAUGCUAAUACGGGAUAACAUAAGAAAUUCGCAUGUUUUUCUUAUCAAAGCUCCGGCGGUACAGGAUGGACCCGCGUCUGAUUAGCUAGUUGGUGAGGUAACGGCUCACCAAGGCAACGAUCAGUAGCCGACCUGAGAGGGUGAUCGGCCACAUUGGAACUGAGACACGGUCCAAACUCCUACGGGAGGCAGCAGUGGGGAAUAUUGCACAAUGGGCGAAAGCCUGAUGCAGCAACGCCGCGUGAGCGAUGAAGGCCUUCGGGUCGUAAAGCUCUGUCCUCAAGGAAGAUAAUGACGGUACUUGAGGAGGAAGCCCCGGCUAACUACGUG